AAACAUAGCCUUUAGCCUAAAACAAGUAUUGAAGGUCCCGCCUGCCCAGUGAUCUUAUUUUUAACGGCCGSGGUAUACUAACCGUGCAAAGGUAGCGUAAUCAUUUGUCUCCCAAAUAGAGACUUGUAUGAACGGCUAACUGAGGGUCUAACUGUCUCCUAGGGCGGAUCAAUGAAACUGAUCUUCCAGUACAAAAGCUGAAAUAAACACAUAAGACGAGAAGACCCUGUGGAGCUUCAAACCAACGCUAUAAACCACCCCACCACACCCAAGGACAUACCCCUCCAUCAAUCAUAGUUAAAGGUUUUUAGUUGGGGCGACUUUGGAACAAAACUAAACUUCCAUGCCAGGGAUCCCCUCCCUAUUAAGGCCCACAUGCCAAAAUAUAAUUUUUUUGACCCAGCAUGACUGACCAACGAACCAAGUUACCCCAGGGAUAACAGCGCCAUCCUCUUUAAGAGUCCAUAUCGACAAGAGGGUUUACGACCUCGAUGUUGGAUCAGGACACCCCGGUGGUGCAACCGCUACCAAAGGUUCGUUUGUUCAACGAUUAACAGU
rnacentral:rRNA from 1 species